GCGAGAGCUACGUGUGUGUGCUUCUUCAACCUUCUUGCGUUACUUUUCCCCUUCUUAAGCCAACGUCUGGGAUGAUGGAUUUGAUUUCCAAUGAAGUGGUCGUUUCCCUGACAGAUUGGCUCUGACGCUUUUUUGUAAUACCCCACCACAGAUGUGGAUCUAGUCCAGACUAGGGCAAAAAUGUACUGGCAUACGUUUUGAAUAAAACAUGAGGUACGCUUGA